rnacentral:sRNA from 1 species
GAAGUGCGGUCCGCGGAGCGUCUCUGGCGCUUGAACUGCUUUGGGCCUGGAUUGCUGCUGCUGCCCCUCCGCUCCCCCUUCGUAUCGCCUGCCCUGGAUCGAAGUAAUGGGGGAUGCCAAGGAGGCCGGAGCCGAGGGCCCGCCGGCCGGGGCCGCCGCUCGAGGAGGGCUCAGCCUCCUGUCCCAGGGAGAAUCCGAGGAAUCUUCUGCACAGGGAUCAGCUUUAUUUCUUGGAGGCAAUGAAGUGAAGAGCCGAGCUGUGGUGAAAUACUCUUCUGCCCCUCCUCGAACAGCAUUUGCACGCCUUGAAGAGAAAACAGACUUGAAACUCCCACCUGCCAACUGGUUACGAGAGAGUGCCAAACUAGGGCCAGCAGGAACUACCAUUCUUGGCAACAGCAAGAAAAGCAAGCCAUUUUCAAGCUUUGGCAUGGCAUAUGACUUUAUUGAUUCAGUGGGAAAUGAUGUGGAUGUUGUCUCUGACUCUGAAAACAUAAAAAAACUCCUGAAAAUUCCCUACAGCAAGUCGCACGUGAGCAUGGCAGUACACCGCAUAGGAAGGACUCUCUUACUAGAUGAGCUAGAUAUUCAAGAACUCUUUAUGAGAUCGUCUCAGACUGGCGACUGGACAUGGUUGAAAGAGUUUUAUCAAAGACUCAUUGAUCAGAAGUGGCAGAGGAAGAAAAAGAGCAAAGAGCACUGGUAUCAAAAGGCAAUUCUUUCCAAGUUUUUAUAUUACAGUAUCAAUGGUGAUGGAGCCGCUCAGCCUGUCUCAUCCACCGCAGAACAGCAGGAAUCGUCCAGUUCAGAUCAGACAAAUGAUUCGGAAGGGGCUUCAUGGCCUGCUCCCUUCGAAAUGCCGUCUUCAGUUUCUGAAGAUCCCAGUGCUUCCAGUCAGGGUCUUAAAAAUGAUUUUGUUCGGAAUAUUCUAUGGACAUUUGAAGAUAUCCAUAUGUUGGUCGGCUCCAACAUGCCCAUAUUUGGAGGAGGCAGAUACCCAGCAGUCAGCUUACGUCUCAGGGAUAACAACAAACCAAUUAAUGUGCUAACUGGAAUUGACUAUUGGUUGGACAACUUGAUAUGCAAUGUGCCAGAGCUUGUGAUGUGUUUUCAUGUCAAUGGAAUUGUACAGAAAUAUGAAAUGAUAAAGACAGAAGAAAUUCCCAAUUUGGAAAAUUCUAAUUUUUCUACUAAAGUCAUAAAAGACAUUGCACAGAAUAUUUUAUCAUUUUUGAAAUCUAAUUGUACCAAAGAAGGACAUACCUAUUGGCUCUUUAAAGCAAGUGGCAGUGAUAUAGUGAAGCUCUAUGACCUCACUACUCUUUGUGAAGAAACUGAAGACAAAUACCAAAAUCCAUUCACAAUGCCGGUAGCCAUUCUCUUGUACAAGGUUGCUUGCAACAUGAUGAUGAAGAAGAAUCAAAAUAAGAAACACUAUGGAACUAUUAGAACAUUGCUUCUUAAUUGUCUGAAAUUACUGGACAAAAGCAGGCAUCCUCAAAUUAUUGCUUCCGCCAAUUACAUGCUUUCAGAACUUUUUCAAUUGGAUGAACCUAAAAAGGAAGAAAAUUCAGAAUCUCCUUUAAAUGAGAAUUCUGAUGAAAGUUAUAGUGAAGAGGAGGAAGAGAUGCCCGACAGUGACGAAAAUGGAUCCUAUAGCACCAGCUCUGAUCCAUCAGAUGAUAGCAAAGCAGUAGCUAUAAUCAAGUCUGUUGGAGAACUAUCAGUACCAGAAAAAUACAAAUCUAUUCAUCAAAUCAGACCCAGUUGUGCAUUUCCAGUUUGCCAUGACACAGAAGAGCGCUGUAGACUUGUGCUUAGCUAUGUUCUAGAGGGUUUAAAAUCUGUCGAUAGCAGCAUCAAAAAAGAAAGCGACCUUCCAGCAGCUGACCCCAGCACUCCAAUCCCGUUAAAAUAUGAAGAUGAAUCCUCAAGAGGGGGUCCCGAGGGGCUAGAGAAGCAGAUGGCCUUGUUUUUGGACAAAAUGGGCUCCCUUCAGGAGGGCAAUUAUUCCAGUCAAUCUGGAAUGAUCCCUGGCUCUUGGCAACAUAAAAUGAAACUUCAGCUGAUUCUCAAGUCAUCAAAGGCCUAUUAUGUUUUGUCCGAUGCUGCCAUGAGUCUUCAGAAAUAUGGAAGAGCAUUACGAUACAUUAAAUUAGCUUUGCAAAGCCAUGAUACUUAUUGCUGCCUCUGCACCAAUAUGCUUUCCGAAGUGCUGCUGUUUCUCUCUCAAUAUUUGACACUUUGUGGUGAUAUCCAACUAAUGCUGGCCCAGAAUGCAAAUAAUAGAGCAGCACACCUUGAAGAGUUUCAUUACCAAACAAAAGAAGACCAGGAGAUCCUGCAUAGCCUUCACAGAGAGUCCAGUUGCCAAGGAUUUGCAUGGGCAACUGAUUUGUCUACAGACUUAGAAAGUCAACUUUCUGUUAGUUGUAAAUGUUAUGAGGCUGCUAAUGAAAUCUUGCAGUUUAGUGACUUGAAAAGCCAAAAUCCAGAACACUAUGUACAAGUAUUAAAGAGAAUGGGUAACAUUAGAAAUGAAAUUGGUGUGUUUUACAUGAAUCAGGCUGCUGCAUUACAGAGUGAGAGACUAGUGAGCAAAUCUGUGUCUGCUGCCGAGCAACAGUUGUGGAAAAAAAGCUUUUCUUGUUUUGAAAAGGGAAUUCACAACUUUGAGUCAAUUGAGGAUGCCACCAAUGCCGCCCUUUUAUUAUGUAACACGGGAAGGCUCAUGCGGAUUUGUGCGCAGGCCCACUGUGGUGCAGGGGAUGAACUGAAACGUGAAUUUUCACCAGAAGAAGGCUUGUAUUAUAAUAAGGCUAUUGAUUACUAUUUGAAAGCGCUAAGGUCAUUGGGAACACGAGACAUACACCCAGCUGUUUGGGAUUCAGUGAACUGGGAAUUGUCCACUACUUACUUUACUAUGGCAACUCUACAGCAAGAUUAUGCUCCGUUAUCUAGAAAAGCUCAGGAGCAGAUUGAAAAAGAAGUCAGUGAGGCCAUGAUGAAGUCCCUAAAAUACUGCGACGUGGAUUCAGUGUCUGCUCGACAGCCCCUUUGUCAGUAUCGAGCUGCAACCAUCCAUCACAGGCUGGCCUCCAUGUACCACAGCUGUCUGAGGAAUCAGGUAUUGUCAGUCCAAGUUAAGUACAGUGCCACAUCAGUUUAAAAGUGUUCUGGGUGCUUUUUGUUUUUCUAACAUGGUCAUAGAUGUCUUCCUUGAUGUCCACUCAGGUGAACUGCUGUCCUAAAUUUUCUGCUGCGUCUGUGCCUUUUUUGUGCUGUGCCACUUAAACAAUAUGUCCACAUUGUGCUCCAUGUUGAGCAUGGGAAAACGAAUCCGCUGUUGGUGUUCUGUGGCUUACUGCCUGUCACUUAACAUCGUGUUUUUGAGAUACAUCUGUGUUGGCACACGUAGCUGUUCAUUUUCUCAGCUCAGUAGUCAUUAAAUGACUAUAUCUUAGUUUAUUUAUCUAGUCUAUGAUUAAUGAAUUUUGGGGUUAUUCCAGAUUCCAGUUUGAUGCUAUUAGAAAUAAUCUAGUGCCAGCAGGAUUGUACAUGAAUCCUGGUGCCCAAAUGCCUGUAUUUCUGAGAAUAAUCUGAGGCCGAGGAUAAAGGCACUUCCUUCCGAGAGAUUGCUUGGCUUUUGCUGCGAGUCUUGGGCCUGUAGUUUCUCAGUGAUGUUUUUUUGUUUGUUUUGUUGAUUUCCUCCCCCCUCCCCCCGUAAGGUAAGACUACUUACCUUACAGUCCCUUUGGCAUGAGUUUACUUCUGGGUUGCCUUUAUUCUGAAAAGUAUCUUUUGAGAUACAGCUUAAACUGGAGAAGUUUUUUUUCUUUUUUUUUUGAGACAGGGUCUCACUCUGUUGCCCAGAGUGGAGUGCAGUAGCACGAUCUCAGCUCACUGCAACCUCCGCCUCCCAGGCCUCCCGACUCUUUUGCAUAUAGAUAUCUAGUUGUCCCAGCACCAUUUGCUGAAAAGACUGCUCCUCUGCUGAAUUGUCUUGGCACCCUUAAGCUUGCUUUUGCCCUCAGGAUAUUAGGCCAUCUGGGCAAACCUGAAUUUUGGUUGAGGACUUCCUAGGUCGAAGUGGAAAGAAAUCUUCUCCAGUUCAUGCCUGUAAUCCCAGCACUUUGGGAGCCGAGGUGGGUGGAUCAUUUGAGGUCAGGAGUUAGAGAGCAGCCUAGCCAACAUGACAAAACCCCAGAAAAAAAUUUAAAAA